UACGGGGGGGGCUAGCGUUGUUCGGAAUUACUGGGCGUAAAGCGCACGUAGGCGGGUUAGUAAGUAGGGUGUGAAAUCCCCGGGCUCAACCCGGGAACUGCCUUCUAGACUGCAAGCCUGGAGGUCAGGAGAGGCGAGUGGAAUUCCGGGUGUAGAGGUGAAAUUCGUAGAUAUUCGGAGGAACACCAGUGGCGAAGGCGACUCGCUGGACUGAUACUGACGCUGAGGUGCGAAAGCGUGGGGAGCAAACAGG
rnacentral:rRNA from 1 species